UACGUAGGGUGCAAGCGUUGUCCGGAAUUACUGGGCGUAAAGAGUUCGUAGGCGGUUUGUCGCGUCGGCUGUGAAAACUCGGGGCUCAACCCCGAGCCUGCAGUAGAUACGGGCAGACUAGAGUGCUGUAGGGGAGACUGGAAUUCCUGGUGUAGCGGUGAAAUGCGCAGAUAUCAGGAGGAACACCGGUGGCGAAGGCGGGUCUCUGGGCAGUAACUGACGCUGAGGAGCGAAAGCGUGGGGAGCGAACAGG
rnacentral:rRNA from 1 species